UGGCAAGAUGUUGGCAUAGCUAUUUCACAUGAUGUGAUAUAGUGUGCUAAUAUCUAGCUUUG
rnacentral:pre_miRNA from 1 species